ACAGGGGAAGAAACAGGCCGUGUGUCCACAGUCAGCCUUCUAGCAAGAGAGAGGGACACUGGUAAGUCAGACAGUUUUUGCUGUCCCACCAGACUACACAGCAGAUGACUGGUGUUUUGUCAGCAAUUCCAAAAGAUAUUUUGAAAUCAGUGUUGACAUCUGGUUACAUAAAUAUGCCCCAGGCCAGGAUUUUCCUUCAUUCUUUAGCAUUAGAGAGAAGUUUUUGAUCUGUCUCAGCAUCUGUCCUUAGCGUUACAACUUGUUUCCUCUGUUAGGCUGUUGACAGUCGUGAAAGGGCAGUUCACCCAAGGAAAUGUAAUUAUUUUCCCUCGCUAAAUGUUAAAGGCAUGAGCAUCUUUCCUCAUGGUCACUCAGAAAUGGGAAAGCUCUGUCUCAGCUAUUUGGUGCAGAGUCAGCGUGGUGGAGAGGAGUGACAUUCAACAGAUCCAGAAAGGUGAUAUAUUUCAUGGACUACAGCAGGAAAUGUAAAACUCCAAUCUUCAGUCCUGUGCAGGCUCUUGAAGGGGUUGGUGCAGCAUGGAGCAGAUUGCUGUGGCAGAGGUUUGGGGACACCAGUGAGUGGCCUGUGAGGGAGGACCUAAGGGGAGGCAGCAGAGGCCUGCAGAGGAAGACGGAGAGCAAGGAAGCAGCUGUCGGCGUUCCCUCCUGGAGGUCUAAGCUCCGAGCCUCGGUCCUGUCCACUCUAGCUCCUCCUUUCCCCCUGCGACAAUAAGGAACACAGUACUCAGAGCGGCUGAUAACUGCUGAUCCUCUUCUUGCGACUGAUAUUGUAAUGCUUACCUAAAUUUUCUGGGGAAAAAAUUCGGUUCCUCUUUUAUCAGUGUUCGGGGAGUAUUUGAACUUGCAGAAAUGGGUGCGGGUGUGUUCAGAAAACUAAUAUCUGAUCACUUGGGAGGGAGAUGGAUGGGAGAGGGGCACAGGCCAGAUUCUCCUCCAUAGCUAAGAUGAAGAGGAGCUUCCAGGCGUUGGGCUCACUCCGUAUCCUGGAGUGUGGGUCUCUGAUACGCUGAUGCUUUGAGCUGAGCGAUGGGAAGGAGGAGAAGCACGGCGUUUCUGACCUUCUCCAUCCCCGUGUGCAGCCCUCUGUCUCCCUCCAAGCAAGUCAUAGAAGCCGGAACUUCGCUUCCCCAUGGUGAGUCACAGAAACUAGAACUCCUCUCCCUCAAAGGGAGCCAUGAGCCCCGAAAUGUUCCCCUCUGCUCUCUCUUCUCUCCCGAAGACCCUCAGGUGAGAGGCGGCAGGGCCUGGACCCAGAGGAAGGGGCACUAUGCAGACAGGCGGUGAAGAGUCCGCGCAGACAGGCCUGCUCCUAUCCCUUUAAGUUGUCACCAUUGGGCUAUACCCUUUUUACACAAUGACACUGCUACAUAGCCAUCCAUUCUUCAUCUAAUGUAAGCAUACAAAUAUCAUUUUCCUAGGUCUCCAUUUCUUCAAUCUCUCACGUCACGUAAAACUUUAUUAAAUAAACUCAUAAUAAUUUUCUCUUGCUAACCUGUCUUUGCUAUAGAUGUGUUGGUCAUGACCCUUACGUUGAGUAUUACAGCUUUCCACCCCUGCACAGGCCAGCAGGUGCCCCCUUAUGGUGGGAAACAAGGUCCCUACUUUGCCCUAAUCUCACCUGAAGCACUAGCAAGGCCCAUCCACAUAAUGGGACAGGAAGGGCUUCUGGCACACCUGGGUUAUGUGAAAUACACUUGUUUGUAUUACAAGGUCUUUCUCGUAAGGAUUUGUAAGCAGUGUGGGAAAAGUGUGGCACUGAAUAUUUCUUCUA